GCGUGCUUAACACAUGCAAGUCGAACGAUGAAGCCCUUCGGGGUGGAUUAGUGGCGAACGGGUGAGUAACACGUGGGCAAUCUGCCCUUCACUCUGGGACAAGCCCUGGAAACGGGGUCUAAUACCGGAUAUCACUCUCGCAGGCAUCUGUGAGGGUCGAAAGCUCCGGCGGUGAAGGAUGAGCCCGCGGCCUAUCAGCUUGUUGGUGAGGUAAUGGCUCACCAAGGCGACGACGGGUAGCCGGCCUGAGAGGGCGACCGGCCACACUGGGACUGAGACACGGCCCAGACUCCUACGGGAGGCAGCAGUGGGGAAUAUUGCACAAUGGGCGAAAGCCUGAUGCAGCGACGCCGCGUGAGGGAUGACGGCCUUCGGGUUGUAAACCUCUUUCAGCAGGGAAGAAGCGAAAGUGACGGUACCUGCAGAAGAAGCGCCGGCUAACUACGUGCCAGCAGCCGCGGUAAUACGUAGGGCGCAAGCGUUGUCCGGAAUUAUUGGGCGUAAAGAGCUCGUAGGCGGCUUGUCACGUCGGGUGUGAAAGACCGGGGCUUAACCCCGGUUCUGCAUUCGAUACGGGCUAGCUAGAGUGUGGUAGGGGAGAUCGGAAUUCCUGGUGUAGCGGUGAAAUGCGCAGAUAUCAGGAGGAACACCGGUGGCGAAGGCGGAUCUCUGGGCCAUUACUGACGCUGAGGAGCGAAAGCGUGGGGAGCGAACAGGAUUAGAUACCCUGGUAGUCCACGCCGUAAACGGUGGGAACUAGGUGUUGGCGACAUUCCACGUCGUCGGUGCCGCAGCUAACGCAUUAAGUUCCCCGCCUGGGGAGUACGGCCGCAAGGCUAAAACUCA
rnacentral:rRNA from 1 species